ACGAGAAAGCACCUUCGGGUGUGAGUAGAGUGGCGCACGGGUGAGUAAUGAAUAGGAACGUACCAUUGGAAGGGGGAUAACCACUGGAAACGGUGGCUAAUACCGCGUAAUAUCCGCAAGGAUUAGAGGAGGCCUCUACUUGUAAGCUUCCGUCCGAUGAUCGGCCUAUUUCCCAUUAGCUUGUUGGUGAGGUAAAGGCUCACCAAGGCUACGAUGGGUAGCUGGUUUGAGAGGAUGAUCAGCCACACUGGAACUGAGACACGGUCCAGACUCCUACGGGAGGCAGCAGUGGGGAAUCUUGCACAAUGGGCGAAAGCCUGAUGCAGCAACGCCGCGUGAAUGAAGAAGGCUCUUGGGUCGUAAAGUUCUUUCGACUAGGAAGAAGGGUGUGAUUGAUAAUACCUAUCACGCUUGACGGUACUAGACGAAGAAGCACUGGCUAAUUCCGUGCCAGCAGCCGCGGUAAUACGGAAGGUGCAAGCGUUGUUCGGAAUGACUGGGCGUAAAGAGCACGUAGGCUGGUAAGUGUGUCAGUUGUGAAAGCCCCGGGCUUAACCUGGGAAUUGCAAUUGAAACUGCUUAUCUUGAAUACCUCAGAGGUUAGUGGAAUUCCUGGUGUAGGAGUGAAAUCCGUAGAUAUCAGGAGGAACACCGGUGGCGAAGGCGGCUAACUGGGAGAGUAUUGACGCUGAGGUGCGAAAGCGUGGGUAGCAAACAGGAUUAGAUACCCUGGUAGUCCACGCCGUAAACGAUGGACACUAAGUGUUUGGGGAGUUAACCCCCUGAGUGCUGAAGCUAACGCAUUAAGUAUCCCGCCUGGGGAGUACGGUCGCAAGGCUAAAACUCAAAGGAAUUGACGGGG
rnacentral:rRNA from 1 species